rfam:Cicer arietinum chromosome Ca5, whole genome shotgun sequence.
AGCCGUGUGAUAAACACAUAGCGAACUAUUCUUUCGCCUUUUACUAAAGAAUACCGUGUGUGUAUCACUAAUUGCGGUAUACGCUAAUUUUUGAAAGAGUCCUCUUAAUUGAAGACU